GAUCGAGAUGAGGAGGUGAAGAGUUUCCGUGUGCUGCAGGCCCAUGGCUGUGCACCUCAACUAUACUGUACUUUCAAUAAUGGCCUGUGCUAUGAGUUCAUGCAGGGAGAAGCGCUGGAUCCAGAACAUGUGUGCAGUCCAGAUAUUUUCAGACUGAUUGCCAGACAGCUUGCUAAAAUCCAUACUAUUCAUGCACACAAUGGAUGGAUCCCUAAAUCUAACCUCUGGCUGAAGAUGGGGAAAUACUUUUCUCUGAUACCCACAGAAUUUACAGAUGAGGAACUAAAUAAAAGGUUUUUAAGAGACAUUCCAAGUCCUCAAGUCCUUCAGGAAGAGAUGGCCUGGAUGAAGGAAAGACUGUCAAAUUUAGGAUCGCCAGUGGUACUCUGUCACAAUGACCUCUUGUGUAAGAAUAUUAUUUACAACAAGAAACGAGGAGUCUGUGGGUGCUCAGUGCUUCUGAAGACUGAGUGUUCUAGAAAACCUGAAUUUUGUACUGCCAACAAGAUUUUCCUGGGAGCAGCUUGCUACUUUGCAGGUGAUGUACAGUUCAUAGACUAUGAGUACUCUGGAUACAACUACUUGGCUUACGAUAUUGGGAAUCACUUCAAUGAAUUUGCAGGAGUAAAUGAGGUAGACUACAGCCUUUAUCCCAACAGAGAAUUACAGGAACAAUGGCUGAGAUCUUACCUUGAGGCCUACAAAGAGUACAAAGGAUUUGGUACAGAAGUCAGUGAGAAGGAGGUUGAAGUUCUUUAUGUUCAAGUGAAUCAGUUUGCGCUGGCGUCCCAUUUCUUUUGGGGAUUGUGGGCUCUAAUUCAAGCCAAAUAUUCUACCAUUGACUUUGAUUUCUUAGGGUAUGCGAUUGUUCGUUUUAACCAGUAUUUCAAAAUGAAGCUGGAGGUCAUGACAUUAACUCUUCCUGAGUAAUGAAGAGGAAGAAACUUACCAAGUGGAUAGACAACCCCUGAAUCUUCUGAGAACAGAUACUGGAAAAAAGCUAAACACUUGUUAAAGUUCUGUAAUGCUCACUUGGUGGUUCUUGCUUUAUAAAUAAUGCCUCUAAACAGUCCUUCAUUGUUAAAUUUAAUAUGAAGAGCAUACCUACUGCUGUUGAUAUAAAAUGGAUUAGAAACUUGCUAAAUCUAUAAAAAGUUGUAGAAAUGGCAAUUUAAUCCUUUUUUGUAAUUUAACAUAUGUUGUAUGUGAAUUAUUUAUUAUAAGUUUAACAUGAUUCCAUUGCUGCUUUCAUCAGUUUUUGUGAAAGUUGGGUGCAGACGGUGAAAUUGUUCCAAAGGAUUUGUUUAACAACUUAUUUUAUUGAAGUUGCGUUAACUUAUAUGAGAGAAAUACGUGGUCAGAGAAUAUUAAUCUGUUAGACCUGUACAAGCAAAUAUUGGUGAUAAUAUACUCUUGAGAUACUGAUGACCAAUAUGCAGUAAUUGAGGGGGAAAAAGGCUAGGAUCAAAAAAAAAAAAAAAAAAGUAGCUUUCUGUAUCGCGGUACUUCUCUUUAGUGUAAGAAUCAACCUGUUUGCUGAAAUGGUAAAUAGCAUUUUGAUUUUCCUUCUUGGUUUGUUGAGCUGUAGAAAUGUGAAAGUUCUUUGAGAAUGUGUACCGUCAGUGUUAGAUGUACCAUCUUUAACUUCUGUGGGAAAGCUGCUUGCUUAUUAAGAGUACUUUUUUUUUUUAACAAAAGACCACUAUUCCAAAAUCUUUAUUCCUUUUUGAAACUUGAUUCAGAAAUGAACACUAUUCUGGUCUCUGCAUUUGAUGUACUUCAGCAGUAUUGAACAGAAUGGACUAUUGAACUGAAUAUUAGUAAACAGAGAUCCUGUUGCACUGGGAAGCAAGACACUUAGGUUUACAGUUCAUGUAUUGUUGACGUCUUUCCUUCUGCUUUGUCAUCUUGUAACCUUGGGUUCUAGUCUUAAGUGCUUGGUCUUGUAGUUGCAGGUUCUAGUAUGUUCUACUUUUUCUUCUGUGGUAGCAAAUUACUUUUCAAAGUCUCCAGUUCAAAAGAUAAUAUGGAAAUGUAUAUGAUUUGAACAAAGGAGCUUUGAUCAUCACACACUUAAUAUUUUCUUAUUUUGUAAAGCUAUUAUACCAAGAAUGGUCUGGAUUGCAAAAUGUGAAUUGAAAGGAAAAUGUUUACUUAGCAAAAUAACAUGUAAGUUUAGGAGUGGAAAAGAGGCUUUAAAUCUCAAACAAACAAAAUCAACCCAACAAUGCAGUGUGGGGUUGGGCAGGCAUAUACUGAACCCUGAUUAUACUCUGAAAAACUUUGCACUUUGGUCACUUAAGUGCCCACAUGUACAAAGUCUGUGUGUGUGCAUAUACACAUGUAAACACAAACUUACCUGAAGAGUAAAUAUUGUGGGGAGCCUUUUGUACAGACUCCGGCAAAGAUAUUUAUUCAAAAUUGCUUUAGAGCACGUUGUCGUUAUGUGUGUGUACAUGUACAUAUGUAUACAUAUAUACACGUACACAUACAUAUGUAUGUAUACACACACAUACAUCUGUGCUUUACAAAAGCUUGAGUGAUUCAGGACAAAGAAAGCAAUUGAUGUGAAUGAAAAAUUUUCACCUUGAAAGUCCAUUUUGAAUGGCAUUCUGUUAUUUUACAAAAGCAAGAUUUAUUGGAUUUUUUUUUUCCCCUCUUAACUGGUUUAUAUUCAUCUCUGAAUGUUUCCAACUUUUAUUUCCUUCAGUCAAAACCUUAAAAGUUUAAUAAAAAGGGGAGAAUUUGGAUUUUUUUUUAUAACUUGAAAACUAGGUAAGUUUUCCUUUAGCAUUUGUUAGUUGGAAGCUACUGCAUUGGACAAAUUCUCUUACUAGUUAAAUAGAAACAAAUAGCUAAAAUUGGCAUACUUUCCUUGUGUAGCAGUCAUCAAGGAUGUUGCUAGAGCUCAUGAAACAGCACUGAAGACGUUUAUUUUCUGCUUUUUCUCCCUGUAGAUGUGAUUGACAAACUCACAGUGAGUAAUUGCUUGCUUUCUUGGUAGUCCAUUUUAAGUUCAGCAAGAUCCCUUUGGAAGUAAGGAUGGUAAAGAGUUCUAGAACUCAAUGACUGUUUUCUUCAAGUGGUGACUUUAUUUCUGGCAGUGUUGCUUUGUAUUCAUAAAAUACUUAAAAGAGGCUGUGAAAUUGACAUAGUCUUGGGAAAUCCAACACUUGGAGAUGCUGUCCAGCUUUCCCAACAGUUGGUAAUCUACAUUCCCUCUUCAAGUACCAGUACUCUUUAAGUUUGGAGUUAGUGUUAUUUUUUCAGUAGUAUUUGGUUUAUAUAGCAUAAGUAGCAAUAACUCUGUAGGAGUGGAAACUUGCUCCUGCAGAACCAAAGCUCUUCAUGAGUGCAGCUCAUCUCCUUUUGUGGUGUUAAGUUCCACUGAAUCCCAUAAAAGCACUUUGAAGCAGACAGUAAAUACUGCAAGCUUUUCCUGAGCCACUUUGAAGAAGCACAAGGAUUAUCACAGGUUACAGUGGUCAACUUUGCAGUACUGAUAGAGGUUUUCAUGUUGCAUGCUGAAAUUCGUUUUACACACUUAAAUACUGCUUUGCAUCAGCUUUCUUUCAAGACAAGUACAGAUUAAAACAAUUCCUGAUAGAAGUUAUUCUGAGGAAGUACUGUAAAACACCAUCCAGAAUGAAAUGCCAGUUUUCUUGAGUCUUGCUCCACAUCAGUUUUAGCCAGUAGCACUUGGCUAUUCUCGCUUCCUAAAGAAUAUCUGCAGAUGUGUUAAGUUUGAAGCAGUAGCUUGCAAUAGCAGUGCAGUGUAUAAGCUAGCUUGAAACUGUGAAUACAGGACAUCCUGAAUGUAAGUUAGGUACUAAAGCACCAAACUAGAGAAUGCGUACUUGUUUCAGUUCAUUUAUCUCAGUCUUUUUAUAGCAACUUUUAAGAUACUUGAAGGAGGACAAAAAAAUGACUGAGCUCUAGAAACAUCCCUUAGUAGUUCUGACUGACUUGCCAAGAAGAUACUCUGUUGCCUUUAUGUUAAGCUAAGGGCAUGAAUGCCAAAAUUAAUAAUUCUUUCUGUAGUUAAACGUAUAUUGUAAAUAUAAAGAGGAUUGCUAAUAAUGGCAUUCAUGCAUAAAUAGCAUCAAGUCAAUAGACCAUAGUGGCCUGGUUGCUUUUGUAAAGCAGAACAGUGUGAAUUUUUUUCUUCUCAUUUCUGCAGUCGGAUCUGGUUAAUCUGUGUAUAAUUUCUUAAAGCAUUUAACCAUUACAGAUUUAGAAAUGAUAACUAAUCUGAUCUCACGUAACUUUUAAAUUCCUUCACUUACAGUUCUUAAUUUGCAUUUUGAAAGGAAUUAUCAGAUUCACAUCCACCAGGUCUGACUGUAUAUGUAUAUACAACAGUGUAAAUAACCAUUUGUAAAUUAGUGUGAAUUGUACUGUAUCUUGCAUUUAUGGACUUGUGUAUUGCAUUGUAUUCUCUCCUAUUUUGUAGAAAUUUUGAUGUAAAGAAGAAAUCUAACUCUGUGUGCUGACUUCUUUUGUUAACUUGACCUGUAACAGAGCAUAAUAGUUUUAUGUUAAGGUAUCCAUUUAUAGCCAUGGGCAUCCAAUGUCUUUUCCAUUAGCUUUUUUUUAACAUCACACUCUGGGGAAUGAUUCUGCGAAUAAAGGAAUUUAUACAAUGAUAAGAUUAAGAGAAAACCUGUUCUAAUAUUAGAGCAAGCUAAAUAUCAGGGGAACAUGUAGUACCUGUGGUAUAUGGAAGGCUGUUAAAAUUGAUUACUUAACGUCCAAAAAAUUUCUCAUAUAUCCUUGAAUGUUGGUAACUUCUAAACAGAAACAUGUAGAACUGAAGCACUCUUUUAAGGAGCGUGCUCUGGUGUUGAAAGCAAUUGAGUUAACUGUGAUAGAAGUCUCCUGACUUAAAUGGUUUUGGUGGAUAUAGCCUUAGAAUAGGAUUAGCUACUAACUUUUAAAUACUUGUAAUAAAACUGCAAAUCGCUAAAAUAGUUCUAACUGGCCAUUUUCCUCUGCACUGGAAUUAUUGAUAGUCCCUUUAGACUACUUGAAACUUCUCUGAGGUAUUUUUCCUCCUCUUCUGCCCGCCCCCCCCAGUUCAUUAGAGGGGAACGUGCUAGGACUAUUAAGCUUGGACUAUAAAAACUUCUUCCCAGAUCUGACCAUCAUUACCUACUUUCUUUGUUGGAAAUGGUGUUCUCCUUUAAGUAUAUGACUUCUGGUAAGAAGUGUCUUUUGGUGUAGGAAGUUUGUUUCUGAAGAGGCCUUUAACCCUGGAAGUGAAGCAUAGACAGUUGUUUUCCCUAAAUGCCAGAUUAGAUACAGUUAUUGUUGCCUUUCAUUGUCUGUUUGCUUUUAAACUUUAUCAUAGUGUCCUUCAGGCCGUUACUCAGUUCUUGUUCACUGCUGUGUUUAAUAAUAUUGCUGGAAGAUACUGAUGUGCAAAUCUCGUUGUCCAUCCGGUGAAUUGAUCUUGGUGCAGUUUGUACAGUCUGUCAGUUUUACCUGCGUCUGAUGAACGGUACACGUGCUCACCAGGGCAGACACUUGAAGUUACAAGGGUCCUGGAAAGUAAAUUUCUGUCAAAGAAGUAUUAGUCAAGAGGAGGGAUGGGGUCAGUAAAAAUAAGUAAAAGUGAAUAAGUCACAUGGAAGUUCAAGCUUAAGUUUUUCCAUGUGACAAGGUAUUGAAUAUGCCUUCUGUUUACUUGCAUAGUUUAAGGACGAGCAAAUUGUAAAGAAAGACAGACUUGUUUCAGAAUGAAGUUGAGCUUUCUUUUAAAGCAGUUGGUAGAUAACAAAAGCUUACAAAAUAUGCUUUAUCACUCCUACUGAAAGAGAUCUUUAAAUUAGGUAACUGCUUUUCUGAUUGCAUGCUUUUUUCUUUCUUUUCUUUUUUUCCUUUUAAUAUAACCGACUGGAAUAUAGUCUCAUUUGGGGUAGUCCUCCCUGUAGCUUGCAGAAAAGGUUGACUGCCUCCUGUCUAUGAGUGUGAGGUGGCUGUCUCUCCUUUUUGGGUUUUAAUGUUUUUGUAUUGGUUAAUAUUGUCUUAAAUACCUUUUGAGGUGUGCUAGAGUACUAAACUAUUGGAAUUAGCUACUGUCUCCUGUCCUCUCUUCCACACCAGGCAUGUUGUAAUUACAGCAGCAGAACAGAAAGCAUGUGAUCAGACUUCUACUUAAUAUAAGGCUGGUGUUGAGCAGCCCUGCAGCUAUUUUUGCUUGCCCCCCCCCCAUCUUUUUUUAGUACAAUAGGCUAAAUGCCAAUUGUAUUCACCGGUUGUGAAAGAUAUGAGAAGUCCUGACCUUGAUCUUGUGCAAGGUAGGUGUUCUGCUGGCCAACCACACAAGCUUAAAGAAAGGGGCUCUCAGCAGUGGGAAAAUGCCCAGGCCCAGACGCCAUGUGUCAGAAGAAACCAACCUCUGUGACCUAUAGACCUCUGGAAUGGAAAGGAAGAUGUGUAAAUUGUUUGCAUCUGCCAAUGGUAUGGUGCUGCUCUUAAAUGGCGUGGUGAGACACUGGUAAUAGCACUGUCUGAUUUUUAAGUGCUUUUUCCAAAGGAUCUGAUCUGUAAAGUUUGAGUCAAAGUGACUAGGAAACCAGCCAACUUUGGGGGAGAGAAGAAACGUUCUAAAAUUUUACUUUAAA